GUCUACGGCCAUACCACCCUGAACUCGCCCGAUCUCGUCUGAUCUCGGAAGCUAAGCAGGGUCGGGCCUGGUUAGUACUUGGAUGGGAGAUAAGGAAACUGACCCUUAUACGAGUAUAUCAGCUACAGCAAAGC
rnacentral:rRNA from 1 species